CCUUAGCGCAACAAUAUAAAACAUCAGUUUCUCUUAAUUCCAAUUAACAGCAAAUUUGCUUAAUUUGUGCCAACUGAGUUGAAUGUAAAUUGCGUAAAUUAUCUUUUCACGGUUGUACACUCAAGAAUUGAUGCGUUUUUAAAAACAGACAUUUUCGGUCAGGAACAAUAUUUGCAUCCGCUGCAUUUGCAUCAGUUGUUGUAGUUGCAUCGACCAAAUGCUGGCUAGGUACCUACAUUGUAUACAUACAUAUGUGUGGAAAUAGUUUCAACUGCAUAAGUGUGUAGAUAUGUAUGCAGUUAAACAAAAGAAAGUGAAGUGCAAGUACCUUUGUACAAAGCGCAGCUGCAACGACGUACAUGUGUACAUACGUAUGUAGGUUGCUGUACAAAAGACGUCUUGAAGCAUCGGCAGCUACAUUUAAACAAAUAUAUAUAUUUUAAUACAUAAAUUAUUUAUUUUUAGUUAUUCAAAUUUUUUUAAUUUUUCGUUUAGAUUGUUUCUAUCGGAGAGUUAUUGGAUGUAGCCCAUAGCCAUUACAAAAUGCUGCAUUGGAAAGAUGAUAACAAAGAUGAAGGGAAAGAUGCCUACAAACGUCUCGAUUCAGUGGAGUCAUCAUAGGAGCAGUAAAUGGUGUUCGGUGAUUCUGCCAAUUUAAUAUGAAGUGUCCGACAAACGCCAGCAGUUACUUGAAAUCAACUUUUUAAAAGAUCUAUAUAUAAGUCGUAAAAACGCAAUCAAAUUUUGCAAAGUUGUAACGAAACCGAUUUUUUGUGAACCAAUGUAAAUGAUUUGCAACUGUUAAUAUAUAUCAAAAGAAGGGUAAAUCGAUUACCUUUCUUUUGAUUGUAAU